AGACCCGAAACCCGGUGAUCUAGCCAUGGGCAGGUUGAAGGUUGGGUAACACUAACUGGAGGACCGAACCGACUAAUGUUGAAAAAUUAGCGGAUGACCUGUGGCUGGGGGUGAAAGGCCAAUCAAACCGGGAGAUAGCUGGUUCUCCCCGAAAGCUAUUUAGGUAGCGCCUCGUGAACUCAUCUCCGGGGGUAGAGCACUGUUUCGGCUAGGGGGCCAUCCCGGCUUACCAACCCGAUGCAAACUGCGAAUACCGGAGAAUGUUAUCACGGGAGACACACGGCGGGUGCUAACGUCCGUCGUGAAGAGGGAAACAACCCAGACCGCCAGCUAAGGUCCCAAAGUCAUGGUUAAGUGGGAAACGAUGUGGGAAGGCCCAGACAGCCAGGAUGUUGGCUUAGAAGCAGCCAUCAUUUAAAGAAAGCGUAAUAGCUCACUGGUCGAGUCGGCCUGCGCGGAAGAUGUAACGGGGCUAAACCAUGCACCGAAGCUGCGGCAGCGACACUGUGUGUUGUUGGGUAGGGGAGCGUUCUGUAAGCCUGCGAAGGUGUCCCGUGAGGGAUGCUGGAGGUAUCAGAAGUGCGAAUGCUGACAUAAGUAACGAUAAAGCGGGUGAAAAGCCCGCUCGCCGGAAGACCAAGGGUUCCUGUCCAACGUUAAUCGGGGCAGGGUGAGUCGACCCCUAAGGCGAGGCCGAAAGGCGUAGUCGAUGGGAAACGGGUUAAUAUUCCCGUACUUGGUGUUACUGCGAAGGGGGGACGGAGAAGGCUAUGUUGGCCGGGCGACGGUUGUCCCGGUUUAAGCGUGUAGGCUGGUUUUCCAGGCAAAUCCGGAAAAUCAAGGCUGAGGCGUGAUGACGAGGCACUACGGUGCUGAAGCAACAAAUGCCCUGCUUCCAGGAAAAGCCUCUAAGCAUCAGGUAACAUCAAAUCGUACCCCAAACCGACACAGGUGGUCAGGUAGAGAAUACCAAGGCGCUUGAGAGAACUCGGGUGAAGGAACUAGGCAAAAUGGUGCCGUAACUUCGGGAGAAGGCACGCUGACACGUAGGUGAAGUGAUUUACUCAUGGAGCUGAAGUCAGUCGAAGAUACCAGCUGGCUGCAACUGUUUAUUAAAAACACAGCACUGUGCAAACACGAAAGUGGACGUAUACGGUGUGACGCCUGCCCGGUGCCGGAAGGUUAAUUGAUGGGGUCAGCGCAAGCGAAGCUCCUGAUCGAAGCCCCGGUAAACGGCGGCCGUAACUAUAACGGUCCUAAGGUAGCGAAAUUCCUUGUCGGGUAAGUUCCGACCUGCACGAAUGGCGUAAUGAUGGCCAGGCUGUCUCCACCCGAGACUCAGUGAAAUUGAACUCGCUGUGAAGAUGCAGUGUACCCGCGGCAAGACGGAAAGACCCCGUGAACCUUUACUAUAGCUUGACACUGAACAUUGAGCCUUGAUGUGUAGGAUAGGUGGGAGGCUUUGAAGUGUGGACGCCAGUCUGCAUGGAGCCGACCUUGAAAUACCACCCUUUAAUGUUUGAUGUUCUAACGUGGACCCGUAAUCCGGGUUGCGGACAGUGUCUGGUGGGUAGUUUGACUGGGGCGGUCUCCUCCUAAAGAGUAACGGAGGAGCACGAAGGUUGGCUAAUCCUGGUCGGACAUCAGGAGGUUAGUGCAAUGGCAUAAGCCAGCUUGACUGCGAGCGUGACGGCGCGAGCAGGUGCGAAAGCAGGUCAUAGUGAUCCGGUGGUUCUGAAUGGAAGGGCCAUCGCUCAACGGAUAAAAGGUACUCCGGGGAUAACAGGCUGAUACCGCCCAAGAGUUCAUAUCGACGGCGGUGUUUGGCACCUCGAUGUCGGCUCAUCACAUCCUGGGGCUGAAGUAGGUCCCAAGGGUAUGGCUGUUCGCCAUUUAAAGUGGUACGCGAGCUGGGUUUAGAACGUCGUGAGACAGUUCGGUCCCUAUCUGCCGUGGGCGCUGGAGAACUGAGGGGGGCUGCUCCUAGUACGAGAGGACCGGAGUGGACGCAUCACUGGUGUUCGGGUUGUCAUGCCAAUGGCACUGCCCGGUAGCUAAAUGCGGAAGAGAUAAGUGCUGAAAGCAUCUAAGCACGAAACUUGCCCCGAGAUGAGUUCUCCCUGAGACUUAGAGUCUCCUGAAGGAACGUUGAAGACGACGACGUUGAUAGGCCGGGUGUGUAAGCGCAGCGAUGCGUUGAGCUAACCGGUACUAAUGAACCGUGAGGCUUAACCUUACAACGCCGAAG
rnacentral:rRNA from 1 species